UACAUGGGGUGCAAACGUUGCUCGGAAUUAUUGGGCGUAAAGCGCGCGUAGGCGGUUACUUAAGUCGGAUGUGAAAGCCCUCGGCUUAACUGAGGAAGUGCACCCGAAACUGAGUAGCUAGAGUACGAAAGAGGGUCGCGGAAUUCCCGGUGUAGAGGUGAAAUUCGUAGAUAUCGGGAGGAACACCGGUGGCGAAGGCGGCGACCUGGGUAGAUACUGACACUGAGGAGCGAAAGCCAGGGGAGCAAACGGG
rnacentral:rRNA from 1 species